rnacentral:rRNA from 1 species
GCCAGACUCCUACGGGAGGCAGCAGUGGGGAAUAUUGCACAAUGGGGGAAACCCUGAUGCAGCGACGCCGCGUGAGUGAAGAAGUAUUUCGGUAUGUAAAGCUCUAUCAGCAGGGAAGAAAAUGACGGUACCUGAUUAAGAAGCCCCGGCUAACUACGUGCCAGCAGCCGCGGUAAUACGUAGGGGGCAAGCGUUAUCCGGAUUUACUGGGUGUAAAGGGAGCGUAGACGGUGAUGCAAGUCAGAAGUGAAAGCCCGGGGCUCAACUCCGGGACUGCUUUUGAAACUGUGUGACUGGAGUGCAGGAGAGGUAAGCGGAAUUCCUAGUGUAGCGGUGAAAUGCAUAGAUAUUAGGAGGAACACCAGUGGCGAAGGCGGCUUACUGGACUGUAACUGACACUGAGGCUCGAAAGCGUGGGGAGCAAACAGGAUUAGAUACCCCGGUAA